rnacentral:lncRNA from 1 species
ACUGAUUGAGAGUAAAUUAUGUGUGAAUGCAAGAAUAAGGACAUCAUGAAGAAUAAUAUGAGGUGUUAAUUUCAUCUUUCCUACAUAUGUAACAAGAACUUUAUGAGAGUUAGGUAAAUGAACCAUUAUUGGUGAUCUAAGAACAACAACAUCAUAUAGUAAGGAUUUAUCAAAAAGACAUAUGUUGUGUUGCUCCUGAAUCGAUGAUCCAAGAUUUGUUAGGAGCCUUAGAAUAACAAGGGG